AUACGGAGGAUGCGAGCGUUAUCCGGAUUUAUUGGGUUUAAAGGGGUGCGUAGGCGGAUAGAUAAGUCAGUGGUGAAAACCUGCAGCUUAACUGUAGACUUGCCGUUGAUACUGUCAGUCUUGAGUAUGGUCAAGGUAGGCGGAAUGUGUAAUGUAGCGGUGAAAUGCUUAGAUAUUACACAGAACACCGAUUGCGAAGGCAGCUUGCUGGGCCAAUACUGACGCUGAUGCACGAAAGCGUGGGGAUC
rnacentral:rRNA from 1 species